AUUGAACGCUGGCGGCAGGCCUAACACAUGCAAGUCGAGCGGAUGAAGGGAGCUUGCUCCUGGAUUCAGCGGCGGACGGGUGAGUAAUGCCUAGGAAUCUGCCUGGUAGUGGGGGAUAACGUCCGGAAACGGGCGCUAAUACCGCAUACGUCCUGAGGGAGAAAGUGGGGGAUCUUCGGACCUCACGCUAUCAGAUGAGCCUAGGUCGGAUUAGCUAGUUGGUGGGGUAAAGGCCUACCAAGGCGACGAUCCGUAACUGGUCUGAGAGGAUGAUCAGACACACUGGAACUGAGAAACGGGCCAGGCUCCUACGGGAGGCAGCAGUUGGGAAUAUUGGACAAUGGGCGGAAGCCUGAUCCGGCCAUGCCGGGUGGGUGAAGAAGGUCUUCGGAUUGGAAAGCUCUUUAAGUUGGGAGGAAGGGCAGUAAGUUAAUACCUUGCUGUUUUGACGUUACCAACAGAAUAAGCACCGGCUAACUUCGUG
rnacentral:rRNA from 1 species